rnacentral:rRNA from 1 species
UACGUAGGCAGCGAGCGUUGUUCGGAGUUACUGGGCGUAAAGGGUGUGUAGGCGGUUGUUUUAAGUUUGGUGUGAAAUCUCCCGGCUCAACUGGGAGGGUGCGCCGAAUACUGAAUGACUUCGAGUGCGGGGAGAGGAGAGUGGAAUUCCUGGUGUAGCGGUGAAAUUCGUAGAUAUCGGGAGGAACACCAGUGGCGAAGGCGGCGAUCUGGGCAGAUACUGACGCUGAGGUGCGAAAAGCGUGGGG